CCCUGUUGAGCUUGACUCUAGUCUGGCAUUGUGAAAAGACAUAGGGGGUGUAGAAUAAGUGGGAGCUUCGGCGCCGGUGAAAUACCACUACCCUUAUCGUUUUUUUACUUAUUCAAUGAAGCAGGGCUGGCCUUCACGGGCCACCUUCUGGUGUUACGGCACUUUACGUGCUAACCUGGGUUGAAGACAUUGUCAGGUGGGGAGUUUGGCUGGGGCGGCACAUCUGUUAAAAAAUAACGCAGGUGUCCUAAGGGGAGCUCAUCGAGAACAGAAAUCUCGAGUAGAACAAAAGGGUAAAAGCUCCCUUGAUUUUGAUUUUCAGUGUGAAUACAAACCAUGAAAGUGUGGCCUAUCGAUCCUUUAUUCCCUGCAAAUUUCAGGCUAGAGGUGCCAGAAGAGUUACCAUAAGGAUAACUGGCUUGUGGCAACCAAAUGUUCCUGCGACGUUGCUUUUUGAUCGGUCGGAGUCGGCUCUU
rnacentral:rRNA from 1 species